AGCGCAGGCGGGAAACUAAGCGGAUCUUAAAAGUGCGGGGUUCAACCCCGUGAUGGGGUCCGAACUGGUUUUCUUGAGUGCAGGAGAGGAAAGCGGAAUUCCCAGUGUAGCGGUGAAAUGCGUAGAUAUUGGGAAGAACACCAGUGGCGAAGGCGGCUUUCUGGACUGUAACUGACGCUGAGGCUCGAAAGCUAGGGUAGCGAACG
rnacentral:rRNA from 1 species